UGCUGGCUGGUUUAUUUCCCAUGUGAUUGCAAUGGCUGGAGUUGAGCCAAUCUGAAACCAGGAACCGUGCAUGUCUGCCACGUGGAUGUUGGGGCCCAAGCACUUGGGCAGUCUUCUACUGCUUUGUCAGUGGGGGGUUGGAUAAGAAGUGUAACAACCAGGACAUGAGCCAGCAAGCACAAGAGAUGCUGGAGCUUGCAAGGGGAGGAUUAGCUAGUUGAGCUGUCAUGCCUGCCCCCCCCCCCUUUUUUUUCACUAUCUAGAUAAUGUUAUUUGAAGUAAUACCUAUAUGUUUUUUUGUGAAGUUUAAUUUAUCCUUGUUCUCUUUAGUUGCUUCUACUUUGAGUAUCAUGCCUAAAAACAGUUUCCUUAUCCAAGGUCAUGAAGAUAUCCAUUUGUCUUUUAAGAAUGUUUUAGCUUUAAAUUUUGCAUUUAGGAUUUUGAUUAUUUUUGUAUGCACUGUAAAAUAUAGGUCCAAUUUAACACUUAUGUGUGUAUGUUUCAUUUUCCCAGAACCAGUUGAAGAAAAAACAAUUUUCUCCCAUUAAUUAUCUUGUCACCAAUGUCGAAAUCAAGUUAUAAUAAAUGUUAGAGCUUACUAUGAAA